rnacentral:rRNA from 1 species
UGGCGAACGGGUGAGUAACACGUGGGUAACCUGCCCAUCAGAAGGGGAUAACACUUGGAAACAGGUGCUAAUACCGUAUAACACUAUUUUCCGCAUGGAAGAAAGUUGAAAGGCGCUUUUGCGUCACUGAUGGAUGGACCCGCGGUGCAUUAGCUAGUUGGUGAGGUAACGGCUCACCAAGGCAACGAUGCAUAGCCGACCUGAGAGGGUGAUCGGCCACACUGGGACUGAGACACGGCCCAGACUCCUACGGGAGGCAGCAGUAGGGAAUCUUCGGCAAUGGACGAAAGUCUGACUCGAGCAACUCCGCGUGAGUGAAGAAGGUUUUCGGAUCGUAAAACUCUGUUGUUAGAGAAAGAAACAAAGGAUGAGAGUAAA